GAGCUGAGCAGUGCUCUGGUAAGAGGGAGAGAGGUGGGAGGGAAGAAAGAAAGGAAAGAAAGGGAAGGAAGGAAGGAAAAAGAAAGGAAGAAAAAGAAAGGGAAGAAAGGAAAGAAAGAAAGGGAGGAAAGAAAGGAAGGGGAGGGGAGGGGAAGAAAGAAAGAAAGAAAGGAAGAAAGAAAGAAAGAAAGAAAGAAAGAAAGAAAGAAAGAAAGAAAGAAAGAAAGAAAGAGAAAAAAAGAAAGAAAGAAAGACGUUCGCAUUCGGUCUUGACGUCCCUCGGUUUAGGAAAACCACAGAGACACUCCCCAGAUCGACACCAUUCAGCCUCAUAACUUUGCACUGCACUUCCUGUCCCCGCCCCUAGAUGUACGAUCAUGACACCGCCCACUUCCGGUGGGGGCCUCCAGAGCGCAGGCGUAAAUCCAGGAGCCACUUAUCCACCUCCUUUCGCGCGUUGAUUUAUGCGCCUGUGCAAGGGGAGGGGGGCAGCUUAAUUGCGCGGGAGGACAGAGGUAGGCAGAACUCACGUGACUGUCUACACCCACCUAAUAAGCGGGCGGAGUGCAGUGGUGGCGUAACCGGCAGUUUUAGGGGUGCGCGUGCGCACUAAGUGAGGAACUUGGCGAAGGGCCUCGGGCGAGCCUUUGCGCAUGCUUAUUUCAAUGAAGCUAGGCUUUUUUUUUUUUUUUUCGUUUUUGCAUUUUUAGAAAUCUUUACUUACUAGAGAGAAAUUGAAAGGAAGGGGAAAGCAGAGAGGGAGAGAGAAACAAAGGCACCUACAAAUCUGUUUCGCCACUCGCAAAGCCUCCCCCGGCAAGUGGAGACUGGAGACUUGAACCUUGAGCAUUGUAACCUGUGCGCUCAAGCAGAUAUUAUGCUAAGUUCUAGCAAUUCAUUCUGUUGAUUCAUUUAAGAAGGAGAACAGUGGCUCAUCUAGCAGAGCAGCCACCAGGUUCCAGAUACCAGCAUGAUGCCAACCAGACUUCCCUGGACAGACAACUCCACCAAUGUGUCCUGGAGCUCCGUUUCCUCUGAGCCCCACCCCACUAGGGAAAGAGAGAGACAGGCUGGGAGUAUGGAUCAACCUGUCAAUGCCCAUGUUCAGUGGGGAAGCAGUUACAGAAGCCAGACCUUCCACUUUCUGCAUCCCACAAUGACCUUGGGUUCAUACUCCCAGAGGGUUAAAGAAUAGGAAAACUAUCAGGAGAGUGGAUGGGAUAAGGAGUUCUGGUGGUAGGAAUUGUGUGGAGUUGUACCCCUCUUAUCCUAUGGUUUUGUCAAUGUUUCCUUUUUAUAAAUAAGAAAAUAAAAAAGAAGUGGAUUCAUAUAUAUGAGGAGACCCACAUUAAUUUUAUUAUUAUUAUUAUUUUUUUCCCAGAGCACUGCACAGCUCUGGCUUAAUGUAGUGCAGGGGAUUAAAUUUGGGACCAUGAGCCUCAGGCAUGAAAGUCUUUUGCAUAACAUUAUGCUGUUUCCCCAGCCCUCAUUUCAAUAUAAGUUUAAGUUUUUGCUGCACUUUGCAUUUCCUUCUUUUGGCAUGUAUCUUAUUUUUUAAUUUAGGAGGCAUCUAAAAUAUGAAAGUGGCCUGUGUCUGGCUUUGGGCACCUGAUAGUCCCUAGAGGGCGCUCGUCUGGCAUCGGAGACUUUAAAAAGUGCUUUAGGGAGGCUUUUAUAAUCUUUUUUUAAGUCUUUUUUUUUUUUUUUUUUUUUAACCAGAGCACUGUGAGUCCUAGAUUGAAUCUAGUGCUCUGGAGCCUAAGGCAUGAGCGUCUUUUUGCAUAACCACUGUGCUAUCUACCCCUGCCCAAGGGAGGCUUUUACAUACCAUGUAGUCCAUACACUUAAAAGUAUACUGUUCAGUGACUUAGUUUACUCAAGAGUUGUGCAGCCAUGACCACUCAUUUUUUUUUUUUUUAGUUUAUUUAUUCCCUUUUGUUGCUCUUGUUGUUUAUUGUUGUAGUUGUUAUUGAUGUCGUAGUUUUUGGAUAGGACAGAGAGAAAUGGAGAAAGGAGGGGAAGACAGAGAGG